AUAAUAAUAAAAUCAAAUCUUGGCGAACUAUAAUAUAUACUACUUAUAUACAAACAAUAUCUCUUUUUAAAUUUCCACACGUUAUGAAAAGUCUUAACGUAUUUAUUUUAAUAUCAUGUAUUACGGCUUCUUAUUAUACAUUGAUGCUUUGGUUUCCGGAAUUGUUUCAAAGGUUCGCUAAAUAUGAAAAAAUGUAUCCAGAAAAAAGUUCGAGCGUAUGCGAAAUUUCCAAAAUAAAUCUACUGGAGAACAAUAAAACAUUGGCGAAUAUUAGAAUACGAUAUAUACGAUUGCCAAAAUAACAUUCACGACAAUGUAUUUUUCCAUACACUUCUUGUAGGACUGGGUUGUUUGCCAUUGAGUAUUAUUCUACCCCUCACUGUUACAUACACGGGUUAUAAAAUUUAUUUAAUAAUUUGCACAUUCCUCUCGACUAUAGUAACCAUAGGAUUUUUCUUUAUAAAAUCAUCAACACAAAAUCUUAUACUCUCUAGUAUCUUUGAAGCUUUAACGUCUGUAUGCUUAAGUAUAACACUCUGUAUAGUUGUUGAUAUCUUUCCUACAAGUUUAAGAAUGAUGGCUGCUUCUCUAGCUGCUUUCUGUGCUCGUAUUGGAGCAUUUGCAGGAAAUUGGAUAUUUGGUUAUUUAAUAGAUAAUUAUUGCCUACCAUUAAUACUCAUAGUAGCAUCACAACUGUUUUUUUGCACAAUACUCAGCUUUUUUACCCCUGGAAGAUUCGGAGAAAUCAAACCAACGAAUAUAACAUAAUUUCAAAUAUUUCA
rnacentral:misc_RNA from 1 species